rnacentral:rRNA from 1 species
ACGGUAAACGAUACCAACUAGCGUUCCGCCGCUGGCAAACACGCCUUGGCGGGCAGCUUCCCGGAAACGAAAGUUUUUCGGUUCCGGGGGAAGUAUGGUUGCAAAGCUGAAACUUAAAGAAAUUGACGGAAGGGCACCACCAGGAGUGGAGCCUGCGGCUUAAUUUGACUCAACACGGGAAAACUCACCUGGCCCGGACACCGUGAGGAUUGACAGAUUGAGAGCUCUUUCUUGAUUCGGUGGUUGGUGGUGCAUGGCCGUUCUUAGUUGGUGGAGUGAUUUGUCUGGUUUAUUCCGAUAACGAGCGAGACUCUAGCCUACUAAAAUAGUUACUGGAUAAUUGAGUCCAGAAGACUUCCUUAGAAGGGGACCAAGCGGGGGUUCAGCCGCACGAAGUUUGAGCAAUAAACAGGGUCCUGUGAAUGCCCCUUAGAAUGUUCCCAGGGGCUUGCACGGCCGCCGCUUACCACUGGGAGGGAAUUCAAGCCGUGGCUUGUAACCAUUUGCCCGAAAAGGGCAUUUGGGUAAACCCCCUUGAAAAAUCCUUCCGUUGAUCGGGGAUUCGGGGAAUUUGGCAAAUUUAUUUUCCCCUUUGAAACGAAGGAAUUUCCCUAGUAAAGUUGUGAAGUCCAAUCAGCCUCAACGUUUGAAUAACGUCCCCUGCCCCUUUUGAUAACAACACCCGCCCCGGUCGCUGCCCCGGAACUGAAGCCCGUUUUCGAAGAAAAGCCGGGGGAACUGGCUUGUUUCGAUACCUUUCGGGGGUGAGAGAUCCUUUGUGAAAACCGCCUUUAAUCGCAGUGCCUGAACCGGCCAAGUCGUACAGGUUCCGUAGUGACUGCGAGAUCAGCGAUCGGCUCUAUUCAUUCCUAUGUAGCUAUACGUGUGUGCCGCAUCUUU